UACGGGGGGAGCAAGCGUUGUUCGGAUUUACUGGGCGUAAAGGGCGCGUAGGCGGCAGCGCAAGUCACUUGUGAAAUCUCCGGGCUUAACUCGGAGCGGCCAAGUGAUACUGCGCGGCUAGAGUGCGGAAGGGGCAACUGGAAUUCUCGGUGUAGCGGUGAAAUGCGUAGAUAUCGAGAGGAACACCUGCGGCGAAGGCGGGUUGCUGGGCCGACACUGACGCUGAGGCGCGAAAGCCAGGGGAGCGAACGGG
rnacentral:rRNA from 1 species